rnacentral:rRNA from 1 species
UUAGAAUUUCGGGGAUCAAUUUAUCGGUCGUGCCAAUGGUAUGAACUGGUACAAUUGGUUUCUCCCCUCUGACCGAAGCAUGAUGUCAUUAACGUGGUGUCGUGGGGGAAUCAGGACUGUUACUUUGAAAAAAUUAGAGUGUUUAAAGCAAGCAUUACGCUUGAAUACAUUAGCACGGAAUAAUGAAAUAGGACGUUUGAUCCUAUUUCGUUGGUUUCUAGGAUCGACGUAAUGAUUAAUAGGGAUAGUUGGGGGCAUUAGUAUUCAAUUGUCAGAGGUGAAAUUCUUGGAUUUAUUGAAGACUAACUACUGCGAAAGCAUUUGCCAAGGAUGUUUUCAUUAAUCAAGAACGAAAGUUAGGGGAUCGAAGACGAUCAGAUACCGUCGUAGUCUUAACCAUAAACUAUGCCGACUAGGGAUCGGAUGAUGUUAAUUUUUUAAUGACUC